rnacentral:lncRNA from 1 species
UGGAGUUGGGGGUUCUCUCAUGGCUUCUCUUGGCUCCCGUCACAAGAACUAUUCUAGCUUAAGGGUAUAAAACAGGAUGUUUGUCGCCAGGCGCGGUGGCUCACGCCUGUAAUCCCAGCACUUUGGGAGGCCGAGGCGGGCGGAUCAUGAGGUCAGGAGAUUGAGACCAUCCUGGCUAACAUGGUGAAACCCCGUCUCUACUAAAAAUACAAAAAGAAAUUAGCCGGGCGUAGUGGCGGGCGCCUGUAGUCCCAGCUACUCGGGAGGCUGAGGCAGAAGAAUGGCGUGAACCCAGAAGGCAGAGCUUGCAGUGAGCGGAGAUCGCGCCACUGCACUCCAGCCUGGGCCACAGAGCGAGACUCCGUCUCAACAAAAACAAAAACAAAAAACAACGGGAUGUUUGUCAAAAGCUGCCUUUUCUAAGAACAGAGAGCGUGUGACUCUUCUCUCACCCCACCAUGGCUACUUGUUACUGUGAUCUAAAUUUAAUUGUCUCCAUUAGCCACAGGGAGCUAUUGUCUCAAGAGCUGGGGGAGCUUAUUUACAGUUUUAUUUCAGAGCAAGAUAAAUGGUGUCCCCUAAAUAAUAAUGUGACUUAAUGGUAGAGGCAGGACUAAAUCCCAAUUUCUUUCCAGUUUAUGUUUUACUACUAAAGUUGAAAACAAGAUUCUCU